CAGCAGCCGCGGUAAUACGAAGGGGGCUAGCGUUGUUCGGAAUUACUGGGCGUAAAGCGCACGUAGGCGGAUUUUUAAGUCAGGGGUGAAAUCCCGGGGCUCAACCUCGGAACUGCCUUUGAUACUGGAGAUCUUGAGUUCGGAAGAGGUUGGUGGAACAGCUAGUGUAGAGGUGAAAUUCGUAGAUAUUAGCUAGAACACCAGUGGCGAAGGCGGCCAACUGGUCCGAUACUGACGCUGAGGUGCGAAAGCGUGGGGAGCAAACAGGAUUAGAUACCCCUGUAGUCCCUGUCUCUUAUAC
rnacentral:rRNA from 1 species